rnacentral:rRNA from 1 species
ACCUGCCCUAUGAUGAGUUAAAUGGCUGCGGUAUUUUGACCGUACAAAGGUAGCAUAAUCAUUAGUUUUUUAAUUGAGAACUGGUAUGAAAGGUUGAACGAAAAAGAGACUGUCUCAAUUUAAUUUAAAUUAGAAUUUUAUUUUUAAGUAAGAAAGCUUAAAUGUUUUUAAAAGACGAGAAGACCCUAUAGAGUUUUAUAUUUAAAUAUUUAUAUAAAAAAUUAAAGAAUUAAUUUUUUUUUAUAAAUAUUAAUGUAUUUAAUUGGGGCGAUUAAAAAAUUUAAUUAACUUUUUUUAAAUUUAAACAUUAAUUUAUGAAUAAGUGAUCCAUAUUUAAUGAUUAUAAGAUU